rnacentral:tRNA from 1 species
GGGGCCAUAGCUCAGUUGGGAGAGCGCUUGAAUGGCAUUCAAGAGGUCCGGGGUUCGAUUCCCCGUGGCUCCACCA